GGGUCCGUGGUCUAUCGGUAUGACGCAACCUUGACUCGGUUGAGAUACCCAGUUCAAUUCUGGGCGGUCCCA
rnacentral:tRNA from 1 species